rnacentral:piRNA from 1 species
UGAGUGGAGAAAACGCGAGUGCAGCUGU